AUCCUGGCUCAGGACGAACGCUGGCGGCGUGCUUAACACAUGCAAGUCGAACGGUGAACUCGAGAGCUUGCUCUUGGGGGAUCAGUGGCGAACGGGUGAGUAACACGUGAGUAACCUGCCCCAGACUCUGGAAUAACAACUGGAAACAGUUGCUAAUACCGGAUACGACACGAACAGGCAUCUGUCUCGUGUGGAAAGAUUUAUCGGUCUGGGAUGGACUCGCGGCCUAUCAGCUUGUUGGUGAGGUAACGGCUCACCAAGGCGACGACGGGUAGCCGGCCUGAGAGGGCGACCGGCCACACUGGGACUGAGACACGGCCCAGACUCCUACGGGAGGCAGCAGUGGGGAAUAUUGCACAAUGGGCGCAAGCCUGAUGCAGCGACGCCGCGUGAGGGAUGACGGCCUUCGGGUUGUAAACCUCUUUCAGUAGGGAAGAAGCGAAAGUGACGGUACCUACAGAAGAAGCACCGGCUAACUACGUGCCAGCAGCCGCGGUAAUACGUAGGGUGCGAGCGUUGUCCGGAAUUAUUGGGCGUAAAGAGCUUGUAGGCGGUUUGUCGCGUCUGCUGUGAAAAUCCGGGGCUCAACCCCGGACUUGCAGUGGGUACGGGCAGACUAGAGUGUGGUAGGGGAGACUGGAAUUCCUGGUGUAGCGGUGAAAUGCGCAGAUAUCAGGAGGAACACCGAUGGCGAAGGCAGGUCUCUGGGCCACUACUGACGCUGAGAAGCGAAAGCAUGGGGAGCGAACAGGAUUAGAUACCCUGGUAGUCCAUGCCGUAAACGUUGGGCGCUAGGU
rnacentral:rRNA from 1 species